ACUGAAUAGAUACCCAGGUAGUCCACGCCGUAAACGAUGAUCACUCGCUGUUGGCGAUACACAGUCAGCGGCUAAGCAAAAGCAUUAAGUGAUCCACCUGGGGAGUACGGCCGCAAGGCUGAAACUCAAAGGAAUUGACGGGGGCCCGCACAAGCGGAGGAAACAUGUGGUUUAAUUCGAUGAUACGCGAGGAACCUUACCUGGGCUUAAAUGUAGAGUGCAUUGGUGAGAAAUCAUCAUUUUCUUCGGAACUCUCUGCAAGGUGCUGCAUGGUUGUCGUCAGCUCGUGCCGUGAGGUGUCGGGUUAAGUCCCAUAACGAGCGCAACCCUUAUCGUUAGUUGCCAGCGGGUAAUGCCGGGGACUCUAGCGAAACUGCCGGUGUAAACCGAGAGGAAGGUGGGGAUGACGUCAAAUCAGCACGGCCCUUAUGUCCAGGGCUACACACGUGUUACAAUGGCCGGUACAGAGGGCAGCUACCUGGAGACAGGAUGCGAAUCUCGAAAGCCGGUCUCAGUUCGGAUCGGA
rnacentral:rRNA from 1 species